rnacentral:rRNA from 1 species
UCAGGAUGAACGCUGGCGGCGUGCCUAACACAUGCAAGUCGAACGAAGCGCUUUUCCCGAAUUUUCGGAGGAGGGGAGAGUGACUGAGUGGCGGACGGGUGAGUAACGCGUGGGGAACCUGCCCUGUACCGGGGGAUAACAGCCGGAAACGGCUGCUAAUACCGCAUAAGCGCACAGUGCCGCAUGGCACGGUGUGAAAAACCACGGUGGUACAGGAUGGCCCCGCGUCUGAUUAGUUGGUUGGCAGGGUAACGGCCUACCAAGACGGCGAUCAGUAGCCGGCCUGAGAGGGUGAACGGCCACACUGGGACUGAGACACGGCCCAGACUCCUGCGGGAGGCAGCAGUGGGGAAUAUUGCACAAUGGGGGAAACCCUGAUGCAGCGACGCCGCGUGAGCGAGGAAGUAUUUCGGUAUGUAAAGCUCUGUCAGCAGGGAAGAAGAAUGACGGUACCUGAAGAAGAAGCACCGGCUAAAUACGUGCCAGCAGCCGCGGUAAUACGUAUGGUGCAAGCGUUAUCCGGAUUUACUGGGUGUAAAGGGAGCGCAGGCGGUUCUGCAAGUCUGAUGUGAAAGCCCGGGGCUCAACCGCGGGACUGCAUUGGAAACUGCGGGACUGGAG